AUCGGGGUUGCGGACAGUGCCUGGUGGGUAGUUUGACUGGGGCGGUCUCCUCCCAAAGAGUAACGGAGGAGCACGAAGGUGGGCUAAUCACGGUUGGACAUCGUGAGGUUAGUGCAAUGGCAUAAGCCCGCUUGACUGCGAGAAUGACAAUUCGAGCAGGUGCGAAAGCAGGUCAUAGUGAUCCGGUGGUUCUGAAUGGAAGGGCCAUCGCUCAACGGAUAAAAGGUACUCCGGGGAUAACAGGCUGAUACCGCCCAAGAGUUCAUAUCGACGGCGGUGUUUGGCACCUCGAUGUCGGCUCAUCACAUCCUGGGGCUGAAGUCGGUCCCAAGGGUAUGGCUGUUCGCCAUUUAAAGUGGUACGCGAGCUGGGUUUAGAACGUCGUGAGACAGUUCGGUCCCUAUCUGCCGUGGGCGUUGGAAGAUUGAAGGGGGCUGCUCCUAGUACGAGAGGACCGGAGUGGACGAACCUCUGGUGUUCGGGUUGUGUCGCCAGACGCAUUGCCCGGUAGCUAAGUUCGGAAUCGAUAACCGCUGAAAGCAUCUAAGCGGGAAGCGAGCCCUGAGAUGAGUCUUCCCUGAUACUUUAAGUAUCCUAAAGGGUUGU
rnacentral:rRNA from 1 species